rnacentral:rRNA from 1 species
GACAGAGGUGCCGAGCGUUAGGCGGAAUCACUGGGCUUAAAGCGUGUGUAGGCGGCUCGUUAAGUACCUUGUGAAAUCCCCCGGCUCAACCGGGGAACUGCUGGGUAUACUGGCGAUCUUGAGCGAUCUAGGGGCAGAUGGAACAAGUGGUGGAGCGGUGAAAUGCGUAGAUAUCACUUGGAACGCCAAAGGUGAAAACAGUCUGCUGGGGAUCUGCUGACGCUGAGACACGAAAGCCAGGGGAGCGAACGGG